rnacentral:rRNA from 1 species
AGUGGAUGGGGAGCAACCUAGUUGUGCGUGUGUAAAGGUAGUGCCAAGAAAAGCGGUGAUCAUGAUGAAAAUCAAUUCCCGGUACCCGAAACCGACACAGCUGGGCAAGUAGAGAAUACUAAGGGGCGCGAGGUAACUCUCUCCAAGGAACUCGGCAAAAUGACCCCGUAACUUAGGGAGAAGGGGUGCCACCGAGAGGUGGUCGCAGUGAAGAGGCCCAGGCGACUGUUUAGCAAAAACAUAGGUCUCUGCAAACUCGAAAGAGGGGGUAUAGGGGCUGACGCCUGCCCAGUGCCGGAAGGUUAAAGAAGUUGGUCAGUCUUAGGAUAAAGCUAGCGACUGAAGCCCCGGUGAACGGCGGCCGUAACUAUAACGGUCCUAAGGUAGCGAAAUUCCUUGUCGGGUAAGUUCCGACCCGCACGAAAGGCGUAACGAUCUGGGCGCUGUCUCGGAGAGAGGCUCGGCGAAAUAGGAUUGUCUGUGAAGAUACGGACUACCUGCAUUUGGACAGAAAGACCCUAUGAAGCUUUACUAUAGCUUGGAAUUGUGUUCGGGCUUCCUGUGCGCAGGAUAGGUGGGAGGCGAAGAAGGUAUUCUUGUGGGGAUACUGGAGCCAACGGUGAGAUACCACUCUCAGGAGGCUAGAAUUCUAACUUAAUUAAGGACAGUUUCAGGAGGGUAGUUUGACUGGGGCGGUCGCCUCCAAAAAGGUAACGGAGGCGUACAAAGGUUCCCUCAGACUGGUUGGAAAUCAGUCGCAGAGUGCAAAGGCAGAAGGGAGCUUGACUGCGAGAAGUACAGUUCGAGCAGGGUGGAAACACGGUCUUAGUGAUCCGACGGUGCUGUGUGGAAGGGCCGUCGCUCAACGGAUAAAGUUACUCUAGGAUAACAGGCUGAUCUCCCCCAAGAGUCCACAUCGACGGGGAGGUUUGGCACCUCGAUGUCGGCUCAUCGCAACCUGGGGCGGAAGUACGUCCCAAGGGUUGGGCUGUUCGCCCAUUAAAGCGGUACGUGAGCUGGGUUCAGAACGUCGUGAGACAGUUCGGUCCAUAUCCGAUGUAGGCGUGAGAAUAUUGAGAGGAGCCUUCCUUAGUACGAGAGGACCGGGAAGGACGCACCGCUGGUGUACCUGUUAUGAUGCCAAUUGUAAACGCAGGGUAGCCAAGUGCGGAGAGGAUAACCGCUGAAAGCAUCUAAGUGGGAAGCCCACCUCAAGAUGAGUAUUCUGGUGUAAGGUCACGGGAAGACGACCCGUAAAUAGGCACGAGGUGGAAGUGCAGAGAUGUAUGAAGCCGAGGUGUACUAAUAGACCGUCGGCUUGACC